GAUGUUCCUGGAGGCACUGCAGAUGUGACCGCUGUGUCACUUGUGUGCCAGUAUGUGGCAGUGAAGUAAGGCUAUGCCUAUGCUCAGUGUUCUGAACUGUACCUGAAUGAUUAGUAGCCUAACAUU